CCGCCGCUGGCUCAGCUGGAUAGGCAUCAACCUCCUAAGUUGAUGGUGCGGUUCGAGCCUCCGGUAGGCGGUCCA
rnacentral:tRNA from 1 species